UGGGGAAUAUUGCACAAUGGGGGAAACCCUGAUGCAGCAACGCCGCGUGAGUGAUGACGGCCUUCGGGUUGUAAAGCUCUGUCUUCAGGGACGAUAAUGACGGUACCUGAGGAGGAAGCCACGGCUAACUACGUGCCAGCAGCCGCGGUAAUACGUAGGUGGCGAGCGUUGUCCGGAUUUACUGGGCGUAAAGGGAGCGUAGGCGGAUUUUUAAGUGAGAUGUGAAAUACUCGGGCUCAACUUGAGUGCUGCAUUUCAAACUGGAAGUCUAGAGUGCAGGAGAGGAGAAUGGAAUUCCUAGUGUAGCGGUGAAAUGCGUAGAGAUUAGGAAGAACACCAGUGGCGAAGGCGAUUCUCUGGACUGUAACUGACGCUGAGGCUCGAAAGCGUGGGGAGCAAACAGG
rnacentral:rRNA from 1 species